UCGAGCGAAUCAAUGGGAGCUUGCUCCCUAUAGAUUAGCGGCGGACGGGUGAGUAACACGUGGGUAACCUGCCUGUAAGACGGGGAUAACUUCGGGAAACCGGAGCUAAUACCGGAUAAUUUCCUUUCUCGCAUGAGAAGAGAUGGAAAGAUGGCCUCUCGCUAUCACUUACAGAUGGACCCGCGGCGCAUUAGCUAGUUGGUGAGGUAACGGGUCACCAAGGCCACGAUGCGUAGCCGACCUGAGAGGGUGAUCGGCCACACUGGGACUGAGACACGGCCCAGACUCCUACGGGAGGCAGAAGUAGGGAAUCUUCCGCAAUGGACGAAAGUCUGACGGAGCAACGCCGCGUGAGCGAAGAAGGCCUUCGGGUCGUAAACCUCUGUUGUUAGGGAAGAACAAGUACGAGAUUACCUGCUCGUACCUUGACGGUACCUAAUCCAGAAAGCCACGGACACGUACGUGCCAGCAGGCGCGGUAAUACGUAGGUGGCAAGCGUUGUCCGGAAUUAUUGGUGCAGCUGCUUUGAUAACUCUGAUGUGACAUACCUCGUCUCAUCCCGUGGAGGUUAGCUGGUCACUGAGGAACCUGAGUCCAGAAGAGGGAAGUGGAAUUCCAAGUGUAGCGGUGAAAUGCGUAGAGAUUUGGAGGAACACCAGUGCCGAAGCCGACUCCUCUGUCUGUAACUGACACUGAGGCGCGAAAGCGUGGGACAAC
rnacentral:rRNA from 1 species